AACGAACGCUGGCGGCAUGCCUAACACAUGCAAGUCGAACGAGACCUUCGGGUCUAGUGGCGUACGGGUGCGUAACGCGUGGGAACCUGCCUUUAGGUUCGGAAUAACUCAGAGAAAUUUGAGCUAAUACCGGAUAAUGUCUUCGGACCAAAGAUUUAUCGCCUUUAGAUGGGCCCGCGUAAGAUUAGGUAGUUGGUGGGGUAAUGGCCUACCAAGCCGACGAUCUUUAGCUGGUCUGAGAGGAUGAUCAGCCACACUGGGACUGAGACACGGCCCAGACUCCUACGGGAGGCAGCAGUGGGGAAUAUUGGACAAUGGGCGAAAGCCUGAUCCAGCAAUGCCGCGUGAGUGAUGAAGGCCUUAGGGUUGUAAAGCUCUUUUACCAGGGAUGAUAAUGACAGUACCUGGAGAAUAAGCUCCGGCUAACUCCGUGCCAGCCGCCGCCGUAAUAC
rnacentral:rRNA from 1 species